rnacentral:rRNA from 1 species
GACGAACGCUGGCGGCGUGCUUAACACAUGCAAGUCGAACGGUAAGGCCCUUCGGGGUACACGAGUGGCGAACGGGUGAGUAACACGUGGGUGAUCUGCCCUGCACUUUGGGAUAAGCCUGGGAAACUGGGUCUAAUACCGGAUAGGACCAUGGCAUGCAUGUUCUGUGGUGGAAAGCUUUUGCGGUGUGGGAUGGGCCCGCGGCCUAUCAGCUUGUUGGUGGGGUGAUGGCCUACCAAGGCGACGACGGGUAGCCGGCCUGAGAGGGUGUCCGGCCACACUGGGACUGAGAUACGGCCCAGACUCCUACGGGAGGCAGCAGUGGGGAAUAUUGCACAAUGGGCGCAAGCCUGAUGCAGCGACGCCGCGUGGGGGAUGACGGCCUUCGGGUUGUAAACCUCUUUCAAUAGGGACGAAGCGCAAGUGACGGUACCUAUAGAAGAAGCACCGGCCAACUACGUGCCAGCAGCCGCCGUAA